UAAAGUAGGAUUCGCUAAUUUAAUCAUUUUUUACUGAUCGAUAUAUUUACACACUGACAUGUCUGAUGAAAAUUUAAAUGGUUUCAGUGGCUAAUACCGUCCAAAGCUCCUUUUGUACUGCAUCUCUGUAAGGGUAUGAACAUGUACAGGACAGAACAAAGCAAACACACUCAAAUCUAAUAACAAUUCAGAGUGGAUAAUUAACCAAAACUGCAUAUCUUUAGACUGCAGGGAGGAGUGGGAGAGAUCUACAGUUCAGGCAGCAGAAUCAAUUCACAGAACUAGUAGCUGUGCAUGCCACAAAACUAGCUAAUAUAGAAGAGUGGCAAGAAAAAAAAAACAGAGGUGCUGUUUGGUAUGGGGACACAAAAAUUACACAUCACAUAUUUGUAAGAAGUUAUUUUUUUGUCAGUGUCAGACCAAAGUCAAACCUUUUGACUUACAUGGUAACACUAUUGCACCUGCACAUGACAUCCACUUGGUGAAACUUGGUGAUGGCAGCCUCAUGCUGUGGGAUGGCUGUCUCCAGUAGGGGUAGGGAAGUUGGUCAGUGAUGAUAGAAAAUAAAGGAAAACCUCGUUAGAGACGAGAAACACUUAAACAACAGCUAGAGCCUCAUGGAAUGGUUUAGGUAAAAUGUAUAAGAAUGUGACAUAAUGCUAUAAUUUAGAACAAAAAUGCUUUUGUUCGGAUGUUAGCUAAUUUUUAAAACAAACCAAGCCAUUAGCUUGUUAAUAGCAAUCAUAAAUUACGUGGAACAGCGUUAGCAGAUCUCCAUUCACUCCAUGAUUAGCCUCAGAAGUUUGUUCCUGCAGCUGAAUAACUCUGAAAAGCCUCCGAAGCCUGGCGGACCCCAAAUUGCAGCACUAUUAGAAAAAAAAAACAAAAAAAAAACAUGAUUGCAUAGAAGUAAGCAGCAUUUAAGGGCUUAAAGAAGCGCUGCGGCUGAACCCAAACCAGAGCCCAUUUUCUGCUUGUGUCCCACUAUGAACAAAAGCCCGGCGCUACCUCGGCUUCAAAGGCUCCAUAAUAGUGAAUCGAUCAGAAUGCGAGGCGCUGUUCUGCAGAUUACUGUUAACAAUAAUUUGCCUCCCAGUGCACCGUUGCCAUCUUUGAAGCAAUGUUUUAUUGCCUUUUCUUUUUUUCAUCUGCAUCUGUCAUCCCUGAGGUCCACUGUUUGAUCUCACCCCCUCCUUUCCCUCCCCACCAGUGCGUGCCUCCCCGGGGUCGCGUUGACCUGUUGAUUGGCAGCUGCGAUCAGACAUAUGGUGGGACGAGGCAUCGACCCGCAGCUCCCCGGAGACAAAAGCAGACUAGCUGAGUUUUUUCCCCCCUCCUUCAUCCCCCGUCUUCCACAGCGCCGAAGAGCCGAGCUGUAACACCCGAGGAGCAGGAGGCGGAGGAGGAAGAGGAGGAGGAAGAGGUGCGACCGACCACUAGAUGACGCAAGAUGGUGUCAUUUGUUGGCGGUGCUGGAAGACAAACAGAGCAUCUCAUCAUCUGGACUGUUUUCACUGCAGAUGCAAAAAGGUGUCAGACUUGUUUUGGUAUCUCCUUGUAACAAGGAUCAAUCCCUUUACUGAUCACUUGAAUUGCAACACAUGGGCCUCCCAAACCUGAUUAUGUUAGUUAGCAUAAACGUAAUUUAUAUAAAUAGUACCCUGUGUAAUAAUUGGUACCCCUGGCAAAAUGUGAGCAAAACCCCUAAAACAAAUUGUCGCUAUGGAGAAACAAUGGGAUGACAGGUUUUGGUUCUUUAACAAUAAGCCUAGGAGAUUUUGUUGAUCUUUGCUGUAUAGACGAGAUAAAAAUUGGUUAUUGUCGUAUUCCAGUUGUUGAAAACUGUUUAAUUGUUUCUCUGAUUGUAGAUAUAGAUGAGUUUAGUUGUGUGUCUUUUAUCUUGUAGCCAUUUUCUGACAAUGUAAUUUUUUCCAAGUCAAGUCUCAACUCCAAGUCAGGUUUGAAAUCUAAGAGUUAACUCAUAGUCAAGCUUCAAGUCUUUAAUGUAUGAAUUUUUUUAAUAAAUGCAUGCCAGGUCUAUAACUGCAUCAGUAUAUUAUUUUAACAUUUGAACCUUUGUCUUUUAAUCUUUAAACAUUUAAUUUUGGCAUGCAAACAAAUUGUUGUAGGCUACUUCCACAUUUCAAUUUAGAAAUUGAUAAAGUGUAAUAUUUAUCCUGUUAGAAAUACAAACAGGCAUUUAUGCUAAACAAAAAUAACAGAAUGAGAUUAAAAUCAAGCAAAGCACAUUUAUUUUGCCUUUGUAAUAAUGUAGUCAAUACCUGUUAAUAACUGUUGCCCAUAUUGCCCAGUCUCACUAUAUUCAGCACUAAAUAAGAUUUGGUGGUUUCUCUCCUCCUCACUCUAAAUCAGAACUUUUUUUAUUAAAUUUUCAUUAACAAAAUGCUUUAAAUAUACAUUUAAAACCUUUGUUGCCAAGUCUAAAAAGUUACGAUGUUCAAAAAUGAUGCUGUAAAUUACAACAUAAUGAGUGAGGAACUGUGGAGUGAGGAACCGAAAAAACAUCUGUAUGAGCAGAACAGGAAGAGAGCUUUAUUUAGCCGAAAGUGUCCAAGUAGCUUCAUAGUGGAUGAAUAGAGAAUAGUGGAUGAUUUCUCCUUUUGUGAACAAAAGCUCACUCUGUAAUUCACUGGCGUUCCUAAGACUUAGAAAUGUCUGUCCAGACUGGUAGAUGUCAGUGAUGUUUGUUGCUUUUUGGUUGCAUUUAGGCUACUUCAUGUUGUCAGGCAGGGUCUAUUUAAGUGACCUUGUUAAUAAAUAUCAUUAUUAUUUUAAGACU